UCCUGGCUGGCUCAGUUGGAAGAGCACUGACUCUUGAUCAGGGUCAUGAGUUCGAGCCCCAUGUUGGGUG
rnacentral:tRNA from 1 species